AUGGGGAAGGGGCAGGGGAGCAGGUGGGGCCCACUGGGGCAGGGGUGGCGGCGAGCCUGGCCCCAGACUCUGCAGGGAGGCGCGGGGUCUCAAUUGGGACAAAGGGCAGGCUGGGGAGGAAAAGAGGACCCAGAAGAAAGGAGGGAGCGGACGAAAUGGGAGAGAAGCGGGCGAGGGGAGGGAAGCGAGUCCCCGCGGCCAGAGGAGACUCCUGGUCAUCACACCGGCCGUGGGAGGGGGUCCCCGGGCGGAGGGGGGCGGUCCCCGGGACCUGCAGGGCGGAGCAGCAGAGAAGGAGGUGAGGAGGGGGCAGAGACACAGGGAGGUGGAGAGACCAACUGGAGAGACAGAGGCGGAGACAUAAAACAGAAAGAGGUGAAGCAGACAGAGAGAGAUGGAGUCGGAGAUGCGACCGAUACAGAGACACUAUCGGUACAGAGAUGCAGAGAGCUUGGUGGGGAGAAGCAGAGAAAAGAUGAGCCGAAGGCGGAAUGGAGGGAGGGAAAGACGGAGGCACGGACGCGGAGAUGGAGUGUCCAACAGACAGAGGGAGGAAAGGUUGGAGAGAGGGGACCAGGCGCGGAUGAGACAAACACACAGACAGCGGGAAGAAGACAGCCCAAGGCAGGGCAGGCAGGCGCAGGAGAGACACGCAGACAGGCUGUCGCAGGACGGACAAGAGCCAGAGAGACACAGAGGCCGUUGGUAGACGGGACGCAAUGGGGUGAGGGGAGCUGGGCGGGGUCCCAAGGUGGGGGAAGGCAGAACCAGGGGCUGGCCGGGAUGGGUAGGCGUUCAGGGCUUGGGGGGUACGGGGCUGGGACAGAGCUGAGGAGAGCCACGCCCCUGCCCGAGGGACGAGAGGGCGGAGGCAUCUCAGAUGCUCCGCCCUCUGGGCGUGGCUCAGCUUAUGGUCAGGACCGCCCUCGCUUACCGGAGGAAGGAGGGAACUGCCCUUGGGCAAGGCCGAAGCAGGCCCACGGACCCUGGGAGUCAGGGCGACUAAUCUGCGGCCUCUGGGGCUAA
rnacentral:lncRNA from 1 species